rnacentral:rRNA from 1 species
GACGAACGCUGGCGGCGUGCUUAACACAUGCAAGUCGAGCGGAAAGGCCCUUCGGGGUACUCGAGCGGCGAACGGGUGAGUAACACGUGAGUAAUCUGCCCCUAGCUCUGGGAUAGCUCCGGGAAACCGGGAUUAAUACCGGAUACGACUCCUUCGGACAUCUGAAGGAGUGGAAAGAUUUAUCGGCUAGGGAUGAGCUCGCGGCCUAUCAGCUUGUUGGUGGGGUAACGGCCUACCAAGGCGACGACGGGUAGCCGGCCUGAGAGGGCGACCGGCCACACUGGGACUGAGACACGGCCCAGACUCCUACGGGAGGCAGCAGUGGGGAAUAUUGCGCAAUGGGCGAAAGCCUGACGCAGCGACGCCGCGUGGGGGAUGAAGGCCUUCGGGUUGUAAACCCCUUUCAGCAGGGACGAAGCGAAAGUGACGGUACCUGCAGAAGAAGCGCCGGCUAACUACGUGCCAGCAGCCGCGGUAACACGUAGGGCGCAAGCGUUGUCCGGAAUUAUUGGGCGUAAAGAGCUCGUAGGCGGUCUGUUGCGUCCGCUGUGAAAACUCGGGGCUUAACCCCGAGCCUGCAGUGGAUACGGGCAGACUAGAGGUAGGUAGGGGAGAAUGGAAUUCCCGGUGUAGCGGUGAAAUGCGCAGAUAUCGGGAGGAACACCGGUGGCGAAGGCGGUUCUCUGGGCCUUACCUGACGCUGAGGAGCGAAAGCGUGGGGAGCGAACAGGAUUAGAUACCCUGGUAGUCCACGCCGUAAACGUUGGGCGCUAGGUGUCGGGGCAUGAGUCUCGGUGCCAAAGCUAACGUGUUAAGUGUACCGCCUGGGAAGUAUGCUCGCAAGGGUG